rnacentral:misc_RNA from 1 species
AACAGAAUCAGAAUUUGUUGUUUGCACUGUUCCAUCAUCUUUAUCACUGGAAGUUUCCUGAGCCCCUUGAGGAGUUGGAGAAUGUCCUAGAGCCACAUCAAAUGGCAUAGGUAGAGGAGGCGGCCUGUAAGCAUCAGGGACUGACGUGUCAAGGUUUGUAUCAACCAAGAGUCCCAAGGGGAGUGCAGACGCAGCACCAUGACGGGAUGAUAGUGGGACAUGCUCUUCUGAUGCUCUGGAAUAAUAAUAAUAAGGCGGCGCAAUAUUUAGUUCAGCUUCCUUGGAAGAACAACAGCAGCAACCUCCCAUUUAUCCUUGUAUUUUAUCUCCAAUAUCCAUGUAAAAUUUUAUUCACUUGGGCAUCAUAUGCUGCUACCAGCUAUCCACCAUAAGCGAAACGUAUAACCGUGUUAGAACAAUCCAAGAGGCAUACCUGAUAUGAUUGAGAAU